rnacentral:rRNA from 1 species
CAAAACGACUCUCGGCAACGGAUAUCUAGGCUCUCGCAUCGAUGAAGAACGUAGCGAAAUGCGAUACUUGGUGUGAAUUGCAGAAUCCCGCGAAUCAUCGAGUUUUUGAACGCAAGUUGCGCCCGAAGCCAUUCGGCCGAGGGCACGUCUGCCUGGGUGUCACG